rnacentral:lncRNA from 1 species
UAUUUUUUCCAUUUUUGCUUUGGACUUGACAAUCCAGCCUUGCCCAGGCCUGAAGCAAGAAUGAAAGAUUGAAUGAAAUGUUUAGAACCACUGCACUGAGAAUCUCCAUCUCGUCUGCACAGGCGUCUCCUGGAAAACAUGUGUCACCUUUUUGGGGUUAGAGUACACAAGCCUCCCAAGGAGUUGAGAAAGCCAUCCCUCGGUCAUCAUUAUAAUCUACCACCUCCAUUCAUCAGUCAUUCAUUCAGUAGGUUGAUGGAAGAGAGCGGGCAUUACACAGACACUCAUUUACACGCUUGUUGUAGCUGUGGCAAUGCUGAAAAAGUUGAAGGGACAGGAAGUCAGGAAAGUGUGUCGCAGAGAAGGAACUGUGUGUGCUUCCUCGUGGGUGAGUGUGUGUCCAUGUUACGGGAGUGGAGUUGGAGGCAAUGCUUAAAACCAGUGAAGACUUUCCCAAGGACUUGUCAAUGA